GAGUCUAUGUUCUGAGAAAUGAGGUGGUUGAUAUGAUCGAAACUGGAAUAAAAUGUAUAUUUCAUCAAGAAACAGAUGGAUCUUAAGAAUCUGGUAAAAAAAAGUAGAAUUCGGCAUAGUAAGAAUGUUUGCAUGUAGAAAGAGAGUAUUACAUUGUGGCAUUUCCCAUUUCUUUUUACAUGUGAAAUUACAGUGAACUUAUAAAAAUA
rnacentral:lncRNA from 1 species